rnacentral:lncRNA from 1 species
CUUCUCUGUGUGUCCUACGGGGUCCCGUCCAUCUGCUGAGGACAGUUGCAGCCCAGCACAGCCCCUGACGCUGACAGGAGAUUGUCCCCACAGCAGAACCUUGGCGGGAGACUCAAGGCACAGGCAGGGUGCCUUUCCAGGUCCCGGAUGGUGUGGGCACGGCGACGUCCCCAGAGGAGAUCAGAUGGGGCUUGGGCUCGGAGAAGUGGCCAGGAGCCCACCUGGAGGCUGGGGUAGAAGGAAGGGCCAGCAGGAGGCCAUAGCCUCGGUGAGGUGGUGAGAAAGCCUGGCGGGAGCGGAAUUGGGAGGACGAGGCUUCCUCUGCUGGGCGCAUCCGAGGGGGUAGAUGGGAGCAGCGUCAUGUGCUGGUUUGGAAAUUAAAAGCACAGUGAGAUGCCAGCCACACACCAUUAGAACAAGUGCUGGGAGCAUGGGAUACCUGGAGCACCACAGGGCUGUGGGAUGUCCAGCCCUGGGCAGCUUCUUCCCGAGGGAAAUGUGCAUUGUCACCUCCACUCCCACGCCCAGCGCGCUCACCCAAGAGGGAGAGAUUCGUGCAGAGAUGUGUGCACUAGUGUUCACAGCAGCUUUAUCUGAAGUGGCUGAGAACUGGAAAGGCUCCAGUUGUCCAUGGGCAGGUGAGUGGCUAGACUGCGGUCUGUUCAUACAGUGGACUACCACCAGCAGAAGCAGGAAUGAGCUGCGGGUGCCUCAGCACCGUGAUGAAUCUCAGGAUGAUAGUGAGUGAAAGAAGUCUGCUAAGAGAGUGGUGCUGUGCGGGUCUGUUCACGUGACGUCUGGGGGAGUGCAGAGCAACCUGUAGCAACAGAAAGCCCAGGGCCGGCUGCCUGGGAUGGGGGCAGGGAGGCCUGCUCAGGGCACAGGGAGACCUCGGGCUGCUGGAAGGCUCGUUAUCUUGAUUGUGAUGGUUUCAUGGGUGCGUAGAAAUGUCAAAAAUUCUCAAGUUGCACACUAUAAAUAUGUGCAGUUGACCGUACAUCAAAAAUAGUUCAAUAAAGGUGCAUAAAUAAGUGAAUAUGAAGAAGAAAUAAAGCUAUGUUCCAGUGCAGAGACUGGCUUUGGUGGGACAUGGCCGGGAGGAAGGUGCAGGCAGGC